GGCGAGGUGGUACUACGUUAUCCUUGAUCCAAUAGGUCGGUGGAACAUCGUGUGCGAAGAGAGUCCCGAACGGAGUCCAGGACAGGGCGGGCGCCCAGGGAAAGAGGGCGGGCGCCCUGGGCCUGGCCCCUUUUGGCCUCUGCUUUCUUCCCGUGGCUUCUGGAGUCUUCUAGAUGGUAGAAAAUUGCGCGGUGUGUUGAUAUCUCUAUGUAAUCCCGACAUGUGGGCCUUUCUUACUUAUUUCCUGAUAUCCCCCUACAGAAAUAGACAAACACCAAAACUCAUGGAAUUCUGUCAGAUAAAACCCUAAGUCUAGGUGUUGGUUGCAUUUGGAUCCUUUUCUUUAUUUAUUUGAUGAUUAUAUUUGGUACUUAAGGACCGUCAACAACUCCCCCAAGCUUACCUCUUGCUCGUCCCUGAGCAAGGAUGAACUCAAGAGUUUCUGCAGUGGUUUCAUGCCUUAAAAGUAUACACGCAUUCAAGCA
rnacentral:lncRNA from 1 species